rnacentral:lncRNA from 1 species
UGCAGAUAUUACUCGACUACACAAUGGCAUGCUUAUUAAACAGCUGAAUACUAUGAAUUUGAUUCUAGUUUCGGAAGGUUCGUUCCCCGUGCAAUUUGAUCUCAACUAUGGGAGGAAGCCCAGCCAAUGUGCACACAUCUAACUCUAAUGAUGGGAACAAACUUUGGGAGAAUCAAUUUGAACCUUUUGCCGACAAGUUUGAAGUACAAUGGUGGAGGUCGACUAUUGGGCAAAUUAACUCGAACCUUUGUGGACAAGUUUGAAGUAGAAUGGUGGAGGUCAGCAAUUUGGCACAUUAACGUGAACCUUUGUGGGCAUGUAUUGUUACAAAGCAAGACCCAAAAGAAUGACCUUAAAACUUCAGAACACAGACAACACAAAGGCAUUAAGUUCUCAUUGAUUUUAGCUCAGAACAAAGCAUUGUACCCUUCUAUACAAUGUGAGGGUUCAUAGAAUUACAACCCAGAAACAAGAAAACAGAGGCAGCUACUUAGUGGACCCAGAUCUCUCCAAGAACCCAAAUGAUAUCCUUCCAAAUCAAGAACUAAGAAUCAAAAAGACUCAACACACUCAGAUUCACUAGAAAGACUAGUAGUUUGCGGUUAGAUUGCAAAAGUCACGAAGAAGAAGAAAGGAUAGAGACACAAAUUCGAGAGAGAGAGAGAGAAAGACCCAGAAACGUCCAAACACAAACCACAUGAAGAGUCAAG